UACGUAGGGGGCAAGCGUUGUCCGGAAUCAUUGGGCGUAAAGCGCGUGUAGGCGGCCUCGUAAGUCCGCUCUGAAAGCCUGGGGCUCAACCCCAGGAGGCGGGUGGAUACUACGAGGCUCGAGUACGGAAGAGGCGAGUGGAAUUCCCGGUGUAGCGGUGAAAUGCGCAGAUAUCGGGAGGAACACCAAUGGCGAAGGCAGCUCGCUGGGACGUUACUGACGCUGAGGUGCGAAAGCGUGGGGAGCAAACAGG
rnacentral:rRNA from 1 species